CCAGACUCCUACGGGAGGCAGCAGUGAGGAAUAUUGGUCAAUGGGCGGGAGCCUGAACCAGCCAAGCCGCGUGAGGGAAGAAGGUACAGCGUAUCGUAAACCUCUUUUGUCAGGGAACAAAGGCGGGGACUAGUCCCCGGAUGAGGGUACCUGAAGAAAAAGCAUCGGCUAACUCCGUGCCAGCAGCCGCGGUAAUACGGAGGAUGCGAGCGUUAUCCGGAUUUAUUGGGUUUAAAGGGUGCGCAGGCGGAAUGUCAAGUCAGCGGUAAAAUUUCGGGGCUCAACCCCGUCGUGCCGUUGAAACUGGCGUUCUUGAGUGAGCGAGAAGUAUGCGGAAUGCGUGGUGUAGCGGUGAAAUGCAUAGAUAUCACGCAGAACUCCGAUUGCGAAGGCAGCAUACCGGCGCUCAACUGACGCUCAUGCACGAAAGCGUGGGUAUCGAACAGGAUUAGAUACCCCAGUA
rnacentral:rRNA from 1 species